rnacentral:ncRNA from 2 species
GUGUGCGGAAAUGCUUCU